rnacentral:tRNA from 1 species
GGCGUAGCUCAGUUGGUAGAGCAGCUGAUUUGUAAUCAGCAGGUCGGGGGUUCGAGUCCCUUUGCC